rnacentral:lncRNA from 1 species
GGUGUUUGUGGUUACUCUUUGUCAUAAAACAUAUGAGUUAAAUAAGCUAUUAAGUUCUUAUUAGCUAUUUACAUCUGUUCAUUUCAGUUUAUGAAAACUUAAUAAACAAUUCCUGUAAUUCAUUGAUAAAUAAAUUUAGUUUGUAUGUUUUCUCCAAAUCUAAGUCAUUAAUUACAAUUUUAUGAGGCAACCUAACUUUAAGUAAAAUUUAAUACAAUAUUGCUAAUACCAUAUAACAUUUCAAGAUGGAAAAUGUUAGAUAAAAGGGAAAGUUAAUGUAACAAGCAUCUAUAAAAAAAACCAACCCCUCUAAUCUUAUACCACUGCCAGUCUUGACAAAUGACUCACUCAAUUAUAAAAGAGCAGCCUUCUGCUCAUAUAUUAGAAGAAUCUUUAUACACUACACAGGGAGAAGAAAGAAUUCUGUUCUACUCCUCUGUUCUGGAAGAAAGAGGAGUAACAGAAUUCUUUGAUGUGAUAGAAACCAUGACUACACCAAUAGGUUUGAGCUUUAUGUAUACCAAAAGCUGAGAAAAUAUAUAUGAGAAAUAUGCCCAUUCCUCUUUGUGUGUACUUUCUUAGUGUUUAGUUUGAGCUGCUACAGUGUGCUGAUGUAUGAUGAAAAGUAGGUUCUUUAUGAUACUCAACAGUGUUGUCAUCAUUGGUUGGCACUACAUGAAUCCUUCCCAAACAACCACAACCAUUAUUGCUUCAACAGAAGGUUAUGCUCUGUGUUUGGUAGAUUGUUCAGGUUUGUUCAUCACAAACUGCUGCUACCUGUCCAGAGAACCAAUGCAACUGGAACGUAUGCAUGAAAACUCAAAACCAUGCAGUCAUUGCUUGUGAAUUGCAGAAGUGUCAUUCUGUUAUAGGACAAUAUGAAGCCAUGUGUUGCUAAUGUCACCAAUGAUACCAUUAUCUGACUUAGGAAACACAUGCAUCACCCAUAUUUCUCUGGCAUUGCACUUUUGAAUUACCAUUUGUUACAUUUAUUAGACAACCAUCUAUGAAGACAAUGGUUCUGAAUCCUUAAUGAGAUGAUACAUGCACUGGAUGACUACUUUAGUUCACAUUCUGCUGAGUUUAACAUCAUGGGAUCCAUAUUCUGCCCAGACAUUGUAUACAGGUCAUUGCUCUGAUUUCUCAAUACAUCUUCAUGUUAUCUUGUUUAUCUUUGUAGAAUCAAAAUUUGAUAGUACUUUAUUGGUUGUCUUGUAUAAUAAAUUAUAAUAUGAUAGUGAUGUAAUCAAUGAAAUCUAUGAUUGAUUAAUACAAUUUCAUAAUUCAAGUCCCUGAUCCAAUG